ACAACAACACAAAAACGCAGCAAUUUCUGGGCAAUGGUUGAUGAAAGUAUAAGAGAUUGACAAGUGUCAUCUCUAUCCUCAGCAACGGUCACAUAGACUAGACGACAAAACAAAAGGUAGUCGUCGUACGGUUUGCACAGCUCAGAAAAUAUUCUUCUGUAACAAAUUUGCUGCUCUCGGAUUGGGAGCCAUCUCGUGUGUUUGUGUGAUGACGCGUGUCUUGCUCACUCUAUUUACCCUAACAUUCCUCUUCUCUAUAAAAAGGAUCUCUUGUAGCCCUUUGUGAUAAACCCGCAUGCUCUAUCGACUGCAUUUGAGUCUGCAUUUCAAACUUCCAACUUAGAAUCUCUUAGUCUCUUACUGGCACUAUGGAGGUUAAUUUCCAAUUCCAGGGAAUUGUUGGUCAUGCUCCUCCAGCUGGAGUUGAAGCCAUCAUCCAACCCAAUGGAUUCACCCUCAGAGUGCCUGUGGGGUACUCAAUCAUGAUUAAUCCCAUGAUUGCUCCACAAGUUCAAAUCCAUGGAGAAGGGGUAAUCAACAAUGAAGGAGUGAUCAACAAUGAAGGAGAGAAUAAUGAACCUGUUAACCUCACAGGGGAGAUGAAUUGUAUUUGAUUUUGAGAGUUUUAUAGUAUUGGUGGAAUAAUACAUAUAUUUUGUUAUUUUGCAGAGCAAAUCAGAUUGGCUUCUCAGCAAAGAAUGUUGUCCCAAAGUGAGAUUCUGUAUCUUCUGCAGAAUGAAAGUCUACCAUUACUUGACCAUAUGGAGAUGACACCUGUAGCAGGUCUUUUCAUGUACGAUAUGGAGAUUGUGAAACUUCGGGAUGGACAUAAUUACAAGCGUAGCCAUAUUCGCCAAAACAUUGCGCUGGGUGAGGAUGAAAUAGUGGUGAACUACAGGUGGUCAUAUGUGGAACAUCCAACUAAGGAUGUUAAUCUUGCCAUUACUGCAAGACGCUACUUUUUGGAAGAUGGAGAUAAAUUUUUGGUACACUAUCUUCAGGGAGGGGAUCAUAUAAACGACCCAAUAACAUGGAUUCCAGUGAACCCAGUGCUUGCGCAGUGAUAUGGCCCCGUGUUUUCAUAUGGCUUUCAAUAAAAAACUUUCGCCUAUAUGCCUUUUUUCUUUUUGGUUUAUGUAGAACCUGGCCUUUUUCUUUUUGGUUUAUGUAGAACCUUC